rnacentral:rRNA from 1 species
GACGAACGCUGGCGGCGUGCUUAACACAUGCAAGUCGAACGGUGAAGCGCCUUCCUUUUUGGUGGGUGUGGAUGAGUGGCGAACGGGUGAGUAACACGUGAGUAACCUGCCCCCUUCUUCUGGAUAACCGCAUGAAAGUGUGGCUAAUACGGGAUAUUCUGGGUCUGUCGCAUGAUGGGUCUGGGAAAGAUAUUGUUUCGGUGGGGGAUGGGCUCGCGGCCUAUCAGCUUGUUGGUGGGGUGAUGGCCUAGCAAGGCGGUGACGGGUAGCCGGCCUGAGAGGGUAGACGGUCAUGAAGGGACUGGGACACGGCUGAGGCUCCUACGGGAGGCAGCAGUGGGGAAUAGUGCACAAUGGGCGCAAGCCUGAUGCAGCGACGCCGCGUGAGGGAUGGAGGCCUUCGGGUUGUGAACCUCUUUCGCCAGUGAAGCAGGCCUGCCUCGUUUGUGGGUGGGUUGACGGUAGCUGGAUAAGAAGCGCCGGCUAAGUACGUG